AUUGAACGCUGGCGGCAUGCCUAACACAUGCAAGUCGAACGAGUGGCGGACUGGUGAGUAAUUUCUUGGCAACUGCCUGAUGUAGGGGGCUAACUACUGGAACCGGUAGCUAAUACCGCAUACCAUCGGAUGUGCCCAGAGGGGAUUAGCUAGUAGGGGGGGUAAAGGCGCACCUAGGCGACGCUCCCUAGCUGGUCUGAGAGGAUGACCAGCGACACUGGAACUGAGACACGGUCCAGACUCCUACGGGAGGCAGCAGUGGGGAAUAUUGCACAAUGGGCGCAAGCCUGAUGCAGCCAUGCCGCGUGUAUGAAGAAGGCCUUCGGGUUGUAAAGUACUUUCGGCGGGGAGGCGGUACCCGAAGAGGAAGCACCGGCUAACUCCGUGCCAGCAGCCGCGGUAAUUC
rnacentral:rRNA from 1 species